rnacentral:rRNA from 1 species
CCAUCAUUUAGUUGGGCACUUUAAGAGACUGCCGGUGUUAAGCCGGAGGAAGGUGGGGAUGACGUCAAGUCCUCAUGGCCUUAUGCCCAGGGCUACACACGUGCUACAAUGGGCGGUACAAAGAGAAGCAACCUCGCGAGGGUGAGCAAAUCUCAAAAAGCCGUUCUCAGUUCGGAUUGAAGUCUGCAACUCGACUUCAUGAAGUCGGAAUCGCUAGUAAUCGCGGAUCAGCAUGCCGCGGUGAAUACGUUCCCGGGCCUU